AACAAGACAAUGAUCAGCAUCGACACGACCACUGUGGGUGAUUGGCUACAUUUCACGUGACGGGAAUGUCUGAAAAUUCCCAGAGUUAUGUCAUGUACUUUAUGAACUUCAUAUUGUUCAGACACAGGGGACGAUCUUAUAGUUAUCUAUUGUUUAAAUGCUGACGUCUAUUAAUGUCACUAACUUUUUAUCAUCCUUCGUCAAAUUAUAACAGAAAAAUCAGAAGCUCUGAGUAAAUCCAAACAAUCAUAAUCCAUGUACAUCAGUUUUGUUCAUUUCAUCAGAACCCCCAGGUUUUUUCUCCGUCACUUGUCACAUUAAAUUCCCCUUAUUCUCAUUUUGAAUGUAUUGUAAAUAAUAUGCUCUUAUUUUGUUUAUAUAUCGAACACACUCCAAAUCCUGUUUGGAGCCUCUUUAUACUGUGCCCUAAUUGGAACCUCUUUUUACUGUGCCCUAAUUGGAACCUCUUUUUACUGUGCCCUAAUUGGAGCCUCUUUUUACUGUGCCCUAAUUGGAACCUCGCUUCACUGGACUUUAAACCGCCACUCCGUGCUGAAUUCAGUUUGGACAUGGCAGUCUAGCAGGAAGGACGCUUUUAUACUUCUCUGCGUAUCAGUUUAAUAUAAUCAGCGAACUUUCCCGUUCUAUACAUGGCAUAUACGUAAUGCUGCAUAUGGUCCAGCUUUUCUGAGGUCCUCUCUCUGUGGUCUACUACAGUUAUCCUGAUGUAACCAGUGUACGUAUGCAGGACGUGAAGAGUAAUAGUAUAGUACCAGGACAACCAAGCUCCAGGAGUGGGUACACUGGUCAAGGGACCCCACAGAGGUCUUAGGAUUAUCCUGGACAUGGACACUUGUGAAAUUAGGACCAUGUUCAUAUAAGAGAUAUUGUACAUAAUAAACUCUUUAUAACUAUA